CAACUACUCCCUCUAUCCCAAAUUUCUUGUCUUAGAUUUGUCGAGAUAUGGAUGUAUCUAAUACUAAAAUGUGACUUGAUACAUCCGUAUCUAGACAAAUAUAAGACAAGAAUUUUGGGACGGAGGUAGUACUUU
rfam:Triticum aestivum genome assembly, contig: Triticum_aestivum_CS42_TGACv1_scaffold_376553_5AL